rnacentral:rRNA from 1 species
UACGUAGGUGGCAAGCGAUACUCGGAAUCACUAGGCGUAAAGCGCAGGUAGGCGGUUCGGUAAGUCUUUUUGUGAAAGCUCCCCGGCUUAACUGGGAGAGGUCAAGGGAAACUGCCGGGCUAGAGUUUGGUAGGGGGAUACUGGAAUUCCUGGUGUAGCGGUGAAAUGCGUAGAUAUCGAGAGGAACACCAGUGGCGAAGGCGAGUCUCUGGACGACUCCUGACACUGAGGCACGAAAGCCAGGGGAGCAAACAGG